rnacentral:rRNA from 1 species
AUUGAACGCUGGCGGCAGGCCUAACACAUGCAAGUCGAGCGGAUGAAGGGAGCUUGCUCCUGGAUUCAGCGGCGGACGGGUGAGUAAUGCCUAGGAAUCUGCCUGGUAGUGGGGGAUAACGUCCGGAAACGGGCGCUAAUACCGCAUACGUCCUGAGGGAGAAAGUGAGGGAUCUUCGGACCUCACGCUAUCAGAUGAGCCUAGGUCGGAUUAGCUAGUUGGUGGGGUAAAGGCCUACCAAGGCGACGAUCCGUAACUGGUCUGAGAGGAUGAUCAGUCACACUGGAACUGAGACACGGUCCAGACUCCUACGGGAGGCAGCAGUGGGGAAUAUUGGACAAUGGGCGAAAGCCUGAUCCAGCCAUGCCGCGUGUGUGAAGAAGGUCUUCGGAUUGUAAAGCACUUUAAGUUGGGGGGAAGGGCAGUAAGUUAAUACCUUGCUGUUUUGACGUUACCAACAGAAUAAGCACCGGCUAACUUCGUG